UACGUAGGGUGCGAGCGUUAAUCGGAAUUACUGGGCGUAAAGGGUGCGCAGGCGGUUCUGCAAGUCAGGCGUGAAAGCCCCGGGCUUAACCUGGGAAUGGCGCUUGAAACUACAGGACUGGAGUAUGGCAGAGGGAGGUGGAAUUCCACGUGUAGCGGUGAAAUGCGUAGAGAUGUGGAGGAACACCGAUGGCGAAGGCAGCCCCCUGGGUUAACACUGACGCUCAUGCACGAAAGCGUGGGGAGCAAACAGG
rnacentral:rRNA from 1 species